GGCUGGUUUUUGUGCAGUGGUGUUUACAACUAAUUGAUCACAACCACAGAUUUCUCUGUUCCUUUUUCAUUCCACUGCUUCACUUGACCAGUCUUAA
ensembl:misc_RNA Y_RNA Y RNA